CGCAUUUCAUGUAACCGAAGGGCCCAUCUCGACCGUGACGAUCGAAUCAACGGUGCGUGCCUACGGCGCGUGGCAUCGUGUGACUUGGGCAACUGACACUCCUCCCCGCGACGCCGCGCCGCCUGCCCGGCUGCCAUCCGAAUCCCAUGUCGUCGCUGCUCCUCCUCCAGGCCCUGGCUCCAGCCAUGACCGUCCCCCGCCACCAUUUCCUCAUCUCCCCUCUCCGCCUCGCCUCUGCAGCCACAGUUCCGUUCGCUCGACGCUUCUCCAACGCCGCUUCCAGCAACAAGCCGGAGCCACUCCUCUCGGAACCGGAUCUGGAGUCAGGUCUGUAUCUUGUGUCAACGCCAAUUGGGAACCUUGAAGAUAUCACCUUAAGGGCACUGCGUGUCCUAAAAUGUGCUAAUGUGAUACUAUCUGAAGACACAAGGCAUUCAGGAAAGCUACUUCAGCAUUACAACAUCAAGACACCUCUUCUUAGCUUCCAUAAGUUCAACGAACGGGAGAGAGAGCCCACUAUCUUAAGGAGGCUUCAUGAAGGUGAAGCAGUUGCACUGAUAAGUGAUGCUGGGACGCCAGGUAUUAGUGACCCUGGCAUGGAACUGGCUAGACUAUGUGCAACUGAGAAAAUCCCUGUCAUUCCCAUUCCUGGGCCAUCUGCUGCAAUUGCUGCUCUUUCUGCAUCGGGUUUGCCAUCAAAUGAAUUCACAUUUGUUGGGUUUUUACCAAAGCAUGCUCGGUCAAGAAGAGAUAGGCUUGAGAUAUCUGCUCGUGAAGCUGCUACACAAAUAUUCUAUGUUCCUCCCCAUGGCAUUCAGCAGUUUCUUGUUGAUGCUGCUUCAUCUUUUGGCGAUUCCAGGCAUUGUGUGGUCGCAAGGGAGAUAACAAAAAUACAUGAAGAGUUUUGGCGUGGAACUUUAGGUGAAGCAAAUGAAGCUUUUGCAACUCGACAACCAAAGGGAGAAAUAACAGUGCUCAUAGAGGGGAAGUUAAUUUCAGAUGACGAAAUUCCAUCAGAGGAUUUCCUUGAGCAUGAACUAAGAGAAUUGACGGCAAAGGGAUAUACUCUUUCUGCGGCGGUGAAAUUGGUCACUGAAGCCACAUCAGCAAAGAAGAAAGAUGUUUAUGCACUCGCAUUGAGGUUGUUUGGAAAAUAAGUAAAAUGGAAUUUUUGGUCGCAUCUGAAACGAGGACACGAGGAAUCUGAAGCACAACUUUGGGGAAGAUCACAAGUAAAAGGACACGUGGACCCUGAACUGUCCCUGGAGGAACCUCGUGAACUGCACCACCUUCUCCGUGUCCGGCAGGACGCGCUUGGCUGCAGGGUGCGCGGCGAAGCGCUGGCUCCACCCGUCCAGCAGCGGCGUCGCGGACGCGUCGAUGAGUGAGAGGCCGUGGAGCCGUUCGCAGGCCCUGAGCGCCGGCAGGAAGCAUCCGAGGGCCAGGUCCAGGAGGCCUGGCGCGGCGUCGCCACCGGAGAAGAAAGCCCUGCCGUUGCUGCGGUCCUUGAACGCCACCUCCAGGAGGCUCAGCGCGGCGCGGGUGUCUUCCACGGCCUGCGCGCGUGCUCCCGGGGUCGGCGCCAGGGAGACGGCAUCCAGCGCCGGCCAAAACUGCAGAAAGGCACGGCAGUUUGUUGCACGUUACCUUGAAGAAAAGACACUUGCUGCCGUGCUCUGCUCGGUGCUCACCUUGUCGUCGAUGAAGGCGGUCCAGAAGCGGUGCAUGGCGCGCUCGUAGGGGUCGUCCGGCAGCAGCAGGCUGCUAGCCUCGGCGCCGCCGCUUCCACGCGCCACGUCCUCGAUGCACUGGAUGAUGACUGCGGACUCGCAUAUGGCGCGGCCGUCGGGGAGGAGCAGCACGGGGAUCUUCCCGUAGACGGGGUUGGCAGCGAGGAGUCUGUCGCUUUUCUUGGGCCCCAGCGGCUCGUCGAGGAGCUCGUACGCCACGCCGCGCAGAUCCAGCGCCAGACGCGCCCGCGCCGUGAACGGGCUGACCUCCCCGCCUAGCACACGCAUGGUCCCGGCCGUCAUCGACGACGACGAGCUGCAGUCCGGCCGGCUGGCUGGUGUCGACGUGACUUCUGUUGGCAUCUCUGCCUCAGCCCUCAGCUUGAUGCGGCCGGCAAUUUAAACGGGAGCCGGUAGUGGCGACUGGCGAGUCGUGUCAUUGACCGGUCGGUGCUCGUGCGGCUUGGUGCGAGCUAACCGGUUCUGGUGCGUCCAAAAUCGGCUCGCGCGCGGCGCGCGUGCUUGUAGCUGGACCUUACACGAGAGCAGAACAGCACGUGUUCGUAAUAACAUUGUUUAUGUACGGCUACGAUGAUGCGCCCGUUCUUUUAGAUACUAUAGGCAUUUUCUAUCAAAUCUUGAAAAGACAUUCUUGGGAAUAUCUGCAUCAUGCAGUUGCACAAUGUAAGUGCUUGCUUGGUGACUCCAGCAGACUUUGCCUGGCCAAGCAUAAUUA